rnacentral:sRNA from 1 species
UUUGAAAUCCAAGAGGUUUUGGGCCGAAACCCGUAUUCCCCCAAGCCCGAAACCACAACAUGUAAUAUUAGUUUCGUCCCAAGCGUCACUCGAAACGGCGACUUCUAAGUUUCGCCUAGAGUCUUUAGCAAUUGAGCUAACGACACUUGGUUCUUUUUUUUUCUAAAAUUGGUGGUCCAGCUGGGAACGAGCGAGCAAGCCAUAGUGAAUCUGAGUGGUGUCGAGCUGUGAUCCGUCCACUGCCGAGAGCGGGAGGUGAUCGCUGCUCUAUGAAACCAGCCUCACGCAUUGCCCACCAAUGUAAGAACCGCCUGAGCCAAGCCUUCGCUCAACACACACAGAUCACUCACAGCUUGGACUGGGCAGCCCAGAACAAUGCCACAACAGAUCUGACCCGUGGACCGAGUCAGUGUUCCACCAACUUAUUGUCCCCACUUGGUUAACAAGCCCUCGUUACUGAUUUGGAAGUU